rnacentral:rRNA from 1 species
UACGUAGGUGGCAAGCGUUAUCCGGAUUUAUUGGGCGUAAAGCGAGCGCAGGCGGUUGCUUAGGUCUGAUGUGAAAGCCUUCGGCUUAACCGAAGAAGUGCAUCGGAAACCGGGCGACUUGAGUGCAGAAGAGGACAGUGGAACUCCAUGUGUAGCGGUGGAAUGCGUAGAUAUAUGGAAGAACACCAGUAGUGAAGGCGGCUGUCUGGUCUGCAACUGACGCUGAGACUCGAAAGCAUGGGUAGCGAACAGG